rnacentral:rRNA from 1 species
UACGGAGGGGGCUAGCGUUGUUCGGAAUUACUGGGCGUAAAGCGCACGUAGGCGGCUUUGCAAGUUAGAGGUGAAAGCCCGGGGCUCAACCCCGGAAUUGCCUUUAAAACUGCAUCGCUAGAAUUGUGGAGAGGUAAGUGGAAUUCCGAGUGUAGAGGUGAAAUUCGUAGAUAUUCGGAAGAACACCAGUGGCGAAGGCGACUCACUGGACACGUAUUGACGCUGAGGUGCGAAAGCGUGGGGAGCAAACAGG